CUUGAACGCUGGCGGCAGGCCUAACACAUGCAAGUCGAACGAGUGGCGGACGGGUGAGUAAUGUCUGGGAAACUGCCUGAUGGAGGGGGAUAACUACUGGAAACGGUAGCUAAUACCGCAUAACAUCAGAUGUGCCCAGAUGGGAUGAGCUUGUUGGUGGGGUAACGGCUCACCAAGGCGACGAUCCCUAGCUGGGCUGAGAGGAUGACCUGCCACACUGGAACUGAGACACGGUCCAGACGCCUACGGGAGGCAGCAGUGGGGAAGAUUGCACAAUGGGCGCAAGCCUGAUGCAGCCAUGCGGCGUGUAUGAAGAAGGCCUUAGGGUUGUAAAGUACUUUCAGCGGGGAGGCGUUACCCGCAGAAGAAGCACCGGCUAACUCCGUGCCAGCCGCCGCGGUAAUUC
rnacentral:rRNA from 1 species